rnacentral:rRNA from 1 species
UGAAGCCCUUCGGGGUGGAUUAGUGGCGAACGGGUGAGUAACACGUGGGCAAUCUGCCCUUCACUCUGGGACAAGCCCUGGAAACGGGGUCUAAUACCGGAUAACACCUUCCACUGCAUGGUGGGGGGUUAAAAGCUCCGGCGGUGAAGGAUGAGCCCGCGGCCUAUCAGCUUGUUGGUGGGGUGAUGGCCUACCAAGGCGACGACGGGUAGCCGGCCUGAGAGGGCGACCGGCCACACUGGGACUGAGACACGGCCCAGACUCCUACGGGAGGCAGCAGUGGGGAAUAUUGCACAAUGGGCGAAAGCCUGAUGCAGCGACGCCGCGUGAGGGAUGACGGCCUUCGGGUUGUAAACCUCUUUCAGCAGGGAAGAAGCGAAAGUGACGGUACCUGCAGAAGAAGCGCCGGCUAACUACGUGCCAGCAGCCGCGGUAAUACGUAGGGCGCAAGCGUUGUCCGGAAUUAUUGGGCGUAAAGAGCUCGUAGGCGGCUUGUCACGUCGGAUGUGAAAGCCCGGGGCUUAACCCCGGGUCUGCAUUCGAUACGGGCUAGCUAGAGUGUGGUAGGGGAGAUCGGAAUUCCUGGUGUAGCGGUGAAAUGCGCAGAUAUCAGGAGGAACACCGGUGGCGAAGGCGGAUCUCUGGGCCAUUACUGACGCUGAGGAGCGAAAGCGUGGGGAGCGAACAGGAUUAGAUACCCUGGUAGUCCACGCCGUAAACGUUGGGAACUAGGUGUUGGCGACAUUCCACGUCGUCGGUGCCGCAGCUAACGCAUUAAGUUCCCCGCCUGG